AACGUAGGUGGCGAGCGUUAUCCGGAUUUACUGGGCGUAAAGGGUGUGCAGGCGGGCUGUUAAGUGGUGUAUGAAAUCGCCCGGCUCAACCGGGCUAGGUUAUGCCAGACUGGCAGUCUAGAGAGCGAGAGAGGGACGUGGAAUUCCGGGUGUAGUGGUGAAAUGCGUAGAGAUCCGGAGGAACCCCAGAGGCGAAGGCGGCGUCCUGGCUCGCAUCUGACGCUCAGACACGACAGCAUGGGGAGCGAACGGG
rnacentral:rRNA from 1 species